UGUGCGUUCGCCGGCCAUCGGGGCUGGGAGCACGGCGGUGUGACGGGGGGCUGCUUUGUACAGUGCUCUCGCCCUCCUCUUCUGCCUCCUCCGCGCGCGCGCGCGCGCGCGUGCGGGCAAGACGCGCGCCGCUGGGGCGGAGACCCCCAAAAUUUCCAGAAAACUUUCGCCCGGCGAGUAGCAAAAAAGGUGCAGAUCUUUCGUCGACGUCCGAGACCGGGGGUAAACAUAACCUCACCGCAGCGUGUGCCACAUUUUCGCAAUGUUGUAUCGUGGCUGUCCUCCGACGGAACCAUGGCGUCGGGUGCCCCUACGAAGAACUGUGCCAGCGCCGAUGCCCCGAGUACUUGUGCGAAAUAAACUAUGCGAAAGCGGCGGUGAGCGACAUGGUGGUGCCUGCACUGCGAAUAUACGAAAACCUGGAAAGGGUGUCGCAACUCGUUACUUUACGCAGGGGCACAUGUAACUGCGGAACUGAAGCGGAGAACUGAUUGUACACUAGGUCAAACAGACAAUGGCCAUAAGAAUCCACGCUCGUUGCUGGUUCAACGACGCAAGGAACGUCAGCAGAGGAGGAAUGACGCAUGCGCACAGCUCCGAAGUAGAGAGAGUAGCAGCAGACCGGCGUGCUCGAGGUUAUUCGAGUACAAAUCACGAUGACAGACAUACGUGUGCUGACAACGAGGCCUCCCAUGCAAGUGCGUGCUGUUGUCCGGUAUGAAUGGGCACGUGGGACUAGCGUGUCCGCCAUCCACGAACGCCUACAGAUCGCGUAUUGUGAAGAGGUCAAAUCUCAGGCCUUGCAUUGCAGGACACCGAGCUUUACCAGAGUGGUUUCUUCAAAUUGACUGCACGCUACGACAAAUGUCUCAAUGUCGGUGGCGUCUAUGUGGAAAAAUAGUGCAACGUGUAUAGUUCAUGACGCCAUGGUGUAUCUUCUUUUUUUUUUUUUUUGGGGGGGGGGGGGGGGCAAUAAAGUUUCCGUGUGAAAACAAAAGACGAAACUUACUUUCAGAGCGUCCCUCGUACUUUCGCACAUUAUUCAAACUACUGCUUAGUGGGAUCAGAAAUGUGCAAAAACAACAAUAUCCUAUUGAAACAUAAUCGCAUAACAACCUAGGUCAGCUAUGUAACUACGUACGUAUGUCUGUAUGUAUGUAUGUAUGUAUGUAUGAUUAGAAUAAAUCUACAGACACACAAAUUAUGACGUGAAUAUGCUACUGCGGUAACGCAAUAAUAAGGGGUCACAUCGUCGCCGACAUAUUUCACUUCAGUGUUGAAAUUUUGUUAACCAGUAUGGAAGGUAUGAAUGUGUGGAACGCCAAAAUAGCACCCGAAUACUGAGACCAUACUGCACGUAAAAUAAUAAUUAAAAAAAUACCAGUUGUUUGCUCGAGAUUGGUGAAAAUUGUCGGAUACCGUCGGCGGAAUUCUUCAUGGCCCGGUAUUCUAUAUUGAAAUUCAAAUUAUUCUGUUGGAACUACGUGCUGCAUCAGUUCGCAGUAGAAAGUUGAGCACCUAAAGCGAGUUUCAGAAACUGGACGCAAGCGGCUUGAGCGCGCCAUCAAAUAACGCCCGUUGGUACUGAGCACGCAAGGAAGUCAGAGUCUGCUUGGGCCUUUUUGUAUGCAGGCUGACCAUCUUUAAGUCUUAUGAAAUUUGUAAAAAAUCGUCUGUGGCAGAUAGCAUAAAUUCGUGUCCUUGAGCUGGAUUAUUCGAAGAGGCGGACAUUACUAGCACGAGAAAUGGAAACACAUAUUCAAACAAUUAACGAACGUUCACUAAUUAACUUCUUAAUUACUUUACAGCACACAUUGCAGUUCACGAAAUGUAACCGGUGAGUUUGCAAGGCGUGUCCACUUUGAAUGAAUUCCCAGAAUGACACCAGGUUGUGAUUUUCUGCACUUGAGUCAAUAAAAAGAACAAUGAAUUCAA